GAUGAACGCUGGCGGCGUGCCUAAUACAUGCAAGUCGAGCGAAUGGAUUAAGAGCUUGCUCUUAUGAAGUUAGCGGCGGACGGGUGAGUAACACGUGGGUAACCUGCCCAUAAGACUGGGAUAACUCCGGGAAACCGGGGCUAAUACCGGAUAACAUUUUGAAUCGCAUGGUUCGAAAUUGAAAGGCGGCUUCGGCUGUCACUUAUGGAUGGACCCGCGUCGCAUUAGCUAGUUGGUGAGGUAACGGCUCACCAAGGCAACGAUGCGUAGCCGACCUGAGAGGGUGAUGGGCCACACUGGGACUGAGACACGGCCCAGACUCCUACGGGAGGCAGCAGUAGGGAAUCUUCCGCAAUGGACGAAAGUCUGACGGAGCAACGCCGCGUGAGUGAUGAAGGCUUUCGGGUCGUAAAACUCUGUUGUUAGGGAAGAACAAGUGCUAAUUGAAUAAGCUGGCACCUUGACGGUACCUAACCAGAAAGCCACGGCUAACUACGUGCCAGCCGCCGCCGUAA
rnacentral:rRNA from 1 species